UCCUUGGAGGACUAGUGGUUAGGCCACGACACUCUCACCACUGCGGCCCAGGUUUGAUUCUCGGCCAGGGAC